CAGAUCAGACAAGCGACAUUAUAACCCUAAUACGUUUACAACAGUAGGACUUUGUAGAAAGAUAAGUCGGGAAUCCAUCACUUGCAUCCUUCAACGUCUGUGUAAGUCAGGAAUCCAAACAUGAAGCUCAUCCACACAGCUUUGCUUUUUGUCUGCUGCAUCCUCGUCACACAAGCCAUUGAGAACAAGCUGGGCCAACAUUUGAAUGUGGCCAAACGUGAUGGCCAACAGGAGCAUGUUGAACAGGGACUUAAACCGGAAGCUACACUUAGUUUCCAAUCAAUGCUGGUCAAAAAUGUUAAAGUUAAGGCAGACG